rnacentral:lncRNA from 1 species
GGUAAUGGCGGCUCUUCCGAUGUGGAUCGCGUUGGCUUGAAUGUGAGCUUUGAAUGCUGAGUGGGAGUGAGUAGUUGAGCACGAAAUCAGAUGGGAAAGCUUGAAAGCACUUGAUUUCUUCUCUUGAAAGCACUAACUCCCUUGAACCUCUUUCUCUUUCUUCUCUCUUGAAUGAUCUUGUGUUUUGGUUGGUGAGAAGUUG